rnacentral:rRNA from 1 species
AACGAACGCUGGCGGCAUGCCUAACACAUGCAAGUCGAACGAGACCUUCGGGUCUAGUGGCGCACGGGUGCGUAACGCGUGGGAACCUGCCCUUAGGUUCGGAAUAACUCCCCGAAAGGGGUGCUAAUACCGGAUAAUGUCUUCGGACCAAAGAUUUAUCGCCUUUGGAUGGGCCCGCGUUGGAUUAGCUAGUUGGUAGGGUAAAAGCCUACCAAGGCGACGAUCCAUAGCUGGUCGGAGAGGAUGAUCAGCCACACUGGGACUGAGACACGGCCCAGACUCCUACGGGAGGCAGCAGUGGAGAAUAUUGGACGAUGGGCGAAAGCCUGAUCCAGCAAUGCCGCGUGAGUGAUGAAGGCCGUAGGGUUGUAAAGCUCUUUUACCCGGGAUGAUAAUGACAGUACCGGGAGAAUAAGCUCCGGCUAACUCCGUG